rnacentral:lncRNA from 1 species
CGCGUAGCGGCAAGCCUUGCUUCUCGGAUCACGGCUUCUUCCUCGGAAGUGCGAUUUAGCUUCGGGUGACCCAUGGCUGCGUAUGGUUAGGCGCGAGCUGCACACUUCUUCACUUUUAGUGGACCAGUGGCAUGGGUUUCGCGGACCACCAAAAAUGACCUCGCGGACGCCCUGGGGUCCGCGGACCCCCAUUUGAGAACCACUGGUAUAUACCAUAGUCAUCACCCAACACCCGGACUACAGGAAGCCAGGCGAUGAACCAGGCUAACAUCCCCGCGGUGCGGCAAAGAUCCAGAGGAGGAUGGCCAGCAGAGAUUAUGUUUCCCUC